rnacentral:rRNA from 1 species
CUAAAUUUUCAACGAUGGAUGUCUAGGCUCCCAUAUCGAUGAAGAACGCAGCGAGAAUGCGAUAUGCAGUGUGAAUUGCAGAACUACGAAUCAUCGGAUUUUUGAACGCAACUG